rnacentral:rRNA from 1 species
GACGGAGGGGGCUAGCGUUGUUCGGAAUUACUGGGCGUAAAGCGCACGUAGGCGGCCUUUCAAGUCAGAUGUGAAAGCCCCGGGCUUAACCCGGGAAUUGCAUUUGAUACUGUUGGGCUUGAGACCGGGAGAGGGAUGUGGAAUUCCAGGUGUAGCGGUGAAAUGCGUAGAUAUCUGGAGGAACACCGGUGGCGAAGGCGGCAUCCUGGACCGGUAUUGACGCUGAGGCGGCGAAAAGCUAGGGGAGCAAACGGGGAGU